GUGAUAAUUAACAUCUACUGAACGCCCACUCUGUGCCAGGUACUGUGACUGUGUCUUUAUAUGCCUAAUUUAAUUCAGACAACAAUCCUAUGAAGUAAGUUCUAUUAUUAUCUGCAUUUUGCUAAUGAGGAAACUGAGGCUCAAAUAGGAUGAUUGACUUGCCUGGAGUCACUGAACAAUCAGUAGCAGAGCCAGAAGGUGAAUCCUCAGGAUUUUCAUUCCCUGAUCUCCGUGUUACUUGAAUGAGGUGAAUGGUGUUGCCGAACGUUAAACUUGGAAGAAGAUUGCUGCCACCAUUCCUGGGGACUUGACUUUGACUCCGGAAAAAUUUUCAAUUUGGAUUUUAAAACAACAGGGCUGCAGGCAUUCUACUGUCUUAUAAAAAAGCAGGUACGACUGAGUGGAGUAACACUCAGGCUGGGUGGAGUGGGACUAAGCCGAAGCAUCCUCUAGGAGUGAGGUUAAAUGGGAACUCGCAGUUGGGCUCUGCUAAUGUUAAGUCGAUGAAAGCCUAACAUGAGAGAAGACCUCUCCAUAACUUUCUGGGGUUUGCUCAUAAGCAGUUUAGUAUCAAGAUCAAGAAGGCUUUUUCAGUGAAAAGGCUUAGAAAUGCUCCAAUGCACAUCCAAUGAAAUGAAAACUCAAUAUUGAAAAGAACUAAAGAAUCAUAAGUCUGGGAGAGACCUUAGAAAUCCAACCUGAGUCAUCAUUGAAUCCCGAAAAGGUCAGUUUCCCUCAGGAGCAUGCACAUAAUAUCCUGGUUCUUUUGACAUCUUCCACUGGAAGCCAGAAAGGAAAGUCUUCAUCAUUUAUUCAUGCGACAAACCUUUAUUGAGUACUUGCUCUGUGUGAGGUGCUGAACUGGAUACCUGGGUACAAAGAUGAAUGAGAUGUGUCUCACUUUCAUUGAUUCACGGACAGUCCAAAGAACACACUGUUGCAACCAUCUCUUCCUGUACUGCUUCAGUAUGCCCACUGAAACUUUCAAAACAGAAAUCAGAAAUCUGAAACUAUUUCUCAUUGGGAAAAGAUUGUGUUUUUGGACCAGAAUUUCUAGUGGCUGCUUACUUAAAGAACUGUAUCAUUUUAGCAGAAGAGAAAACUUAUUUUCAAAACAGUGGAAUGAAUGAAUGAAGAUAUAAUGACUCUGGGUUAUUUCAAGAGAAACAUUUUUAGUUAAUUGGCCAAGUGUGGCAGCAUUGAGUCUUAAUCUGCAUGUUGGCAUUUUCUGGUUGGAAAAUAUAAUUCAGCUUGCCUGACUUUUAGAUCCUGAGACAAAUUCUACCUAGCAUGAGACAGCUUGUAGGACCAGAGGUAGUUAAUGGACAGGAAUCCAUUCUACAUGCCAGACGGGUUUAGAAGCUAAAGGGAAGACCAACCAACAAACAAGCAGGUUCUCAUUUCCAAAACUGAAAAAUAAAAGACAUUCUAUUUUGUCACUACAGUCUUUCAGAUGAGAGGAAUUUAGAAUUUCAUCAGCUUUCUACACAAACACGUUGAAAACCCUCCAUUGACUUGUGCCAUCAGCUAUUGGACUUAAGAACAUGGCCUUAAAACUUAAAAAGUACUCAGUCCUCUAAUACUUUUCUAUUUGUUUAUACUAUAAAGUCCAUAAUUGUUUUCUGCUUCUAGUGACCCCAACUGUGUGUCUUGGACCACUUAAGAAGGAAAAGUCUGAGAUCCCUUUCUUAAAAAAAUGGAAAGUCAGCAUUCCUGCGUGGACAGAAAGGAAUGGGCCAACCAACUCCCUCCUCUUAUUUGCACAAUUCAUUCAACAACAACAACAGAAAAAAAAAAGGAACACUUUUUUCCGUAAGUAACCUCGGAUGAGACUGUAGAUGCCUAAACUGUUUACAACAAAAUGUGAAAUGGUCUUUAAGCCAGUGCAAACGUGCAUUGCCUGGAUCAUGUCAAAUCAUAUUCUUUCCCCCCAGGGAGCAGAGGCCUAAUUUGGCCUGAAGUUUGGCUUGGCAGGCAGAGGGGACGUGUUGCUCCAGCUGUGUCUGAUAAGCAGAUGACAAGAUAAAACGUUCUCUUCAUUUGAGUCUUUCACUAACUAGCACAGUGUAGAAAAUCAAAGGCCUCACUGAUACAGGGCCCUGUAUCUGUUCAAACUUGCUUGGAGGCAAUAGAAAUAUUCUUCAUUUUCAGCAAGUCUGUGACGUAAACUUCUAAUUCUUCUUGCUUAUAAUCUAUGAUGAGUUAUAAACAUGUUGAAUAAUAAAGUAUCCC
rnacentral:lncRNA from 1 species